UACGUAGGGUGCGAGCGUUGUCCGGAAUUAUUGGGCGUAAAGAGCUCGUAGGCGGUGUGUCACGUCGGUCGUGAAAACCUGGGGCUUAACUCUGGGCUUGCGGUCGAUACGGGCAUCACUUGAGUUCGGCAGGGGAGACUGGAAUCCUGGUGUAGCGGUGAAAUGCGCAGAUAUCAGGAGGAACACCGGUGGCGAAGGCGGGUCUCUGGGCCGAUACUGACGCUGAGGAGCGAAAGCGUGGGGAGCGAACAGG
rnacentral:rRNA from 1 species